rnacentral:rRNA from 1 species
AUACGGAGGAUGCGAGCGUUAUCCGGAUUUAUUGGGUUUAAAGGGAGCGUAGGUGGGAUAUUAAGUCAGCUGUGAAAGUUUGGGGCUCAACCUUAAAAUUGCAGUUGAUACUGGUUUCCUUGAGUACGGUACAGGUGGGCGGAGUUCGUGGUGUAGCGGUGAAAUGCUUAGAUAUCACGAAGAACUCCGAUCGCGAAGGCAGCUCACCGGGCCGGAACUGACACUGAUGCUCGAAAGUGCGGGUAUCAAACAGGAUUAGAUACCCUGGUAGUCCGCACAGUAAACGAUGAAUACUCGCUGUUUGCGAUACACGGUAAGCGGCCAAGCGAAAGCGUUAAGUAUUCCACCUGGGGAGUACGCCGGCAACGGUGAAACUCAAAUGAAUUGACGGGG